rnacentral:lncRNA from 1 species
AUACAUGUCACGGUCUAAUUAUGUGCCUCAAAUUUUAACACUAACAUCAUCUUAGAUCUAGUCCAUUAUGACACAAUCUGAAUUUUCACCUUACAAGAUUGAGAAGGGUAUUUGAUCCCACUCACAUGAGGGAUACACGGCUACCUCUACUCAUUUUUAAGUGGAAGAUCGAACAAUUAUAUACGAAUAGUGAUAUUAGAGUCCGUAAAUAUGGACUCGAGCCUACCCAGCACUUUGGUGAGGGCGUGAGUUUAUGGCCGAGUGGUUAUGCAUGUAUAUGGCUGAGGUUGACUAUAGGGUUGACGGAGAAAAUACAGUUCAAACAUCACAUAAAGAAGUCAUUACAAUUUUUUUUUUUUUUGUUUUGACCACGAGGUAUUCUGGGAAGGGCCCCAACUGUAGGAGACACCUUUAAGCCUGUACCACAAUCCAGACUAAAAGUCCCUGCUCGAACCGAGAGGCACAGGUUCUCCCAACAAAUGCGACUUCCCUACGACUCGAACUGGGGAGCAAACCCAGUCAAGCCACUUAAAAAGAAGUCAUUACAAUUGAUGGAUGCAAGAGGAUCAAUUCACGUAGCUAGCCUAGCCCCCAAUAACUUUCAUCAUCAAGGCCAACUUUCAAGAACUAGGCCGUAUACUACAAUUAAUAACAGAGCGAAGAAUAAAUCCAGCACGCGUGAAGCAUUAGUAAAAAUUUGAAGUUUCAACAUCAAUAUUCCCCUACACAAUUUUAAUUGUGGAUUGCACAUACUAUUGAAAUAAUUUCCUGAAUAGCAAGUGGAUGUCUGAGUGAAGAGGAAGAACGAAUCCCAUUUCUUGUAUGUAUUGCUUAUACGCAACAUUGAGGAAUUGAUAAUGGCGUAUAAGUUGUCCUUUGACUCCUCCUCACCCCUUAAACAGUAUUUUCUGCAACAUGAUUUUUAUAGAAUCACAAAGGUACAUUUUGUGAUUUGGUAGUUGCUGAGGUCCGACCUGAAAUAAAAUGCCAGAGUAUUUAUUUUUAAUACCUAAUGUCAUACUCAACAUGGAUAACUUGAUAUUGAAACAGCCCAUAAGGCAGGCUCUUUCUCUCACCUUUCAGAAGCCAUUUUCUGCAACAUGAUUUCUGAAAUUGUAUGUAAUAUGAUAAAUUGCUAGAUGCUACGUUUGUACCUGAAGUUAUGACCACAGAGGAAAAGGAACCCAUUUAUUCAAAAUGUGUUUCUAAUACCCUCUGCUAGAAACAAAAGCAAUUGCAUCAAGAUUGAUGGGUAUCUGAUGAUACUUACCUAGCAUUGAAAAGGCUCGAAGUUGUAUAUAGCAACUUCGUUAACUGUUUGGACAGAGAAAUCACUGUCAAGACUCGUCUUGCUCAGAAGAUUGAUGGUAAUUUCUUCAUCUUACAAGAUAUCCCUUCUCUGAUUUGAAGUGCUAGAGCCUUAGGUAGCUCUCUCUCCGAUUCUGUUUUCAUAUGAAAAAUUUCCCCUGCAUUUACAGAGUAGAGGGGGUGACCAAUUUAUUUUUAUACACACAAACUUGGUGAUGAUCGGUAUCUGGGCUGAGUUGGAGUGAUUAACCGCGUGACAAUUUUGAAUUUUCCUGUGACGGCAUUAAGGACAGAUCCGUUUCCUUUGACAUCAUACAGCCAGCUUUCCACUAAAGAGUUGUCUCCUUCUUUGCGAAGUAGUGAAGUGAAGAUGGAGAACAAGGACGCGUGUCCCCUUCCUUGAGAAGCAGUCAGUUGCCCCAGCUAGCCUAAUACUUUAGAAUAUUCUGCUUCUUUUGUUUUCUUCCGC